AGUGAACGCUGGCGGUAGGCCUAACUCAUGCAAGUCGAACGGCAGCACAGUAAGAGCUUGCUCUUACGGGUGGCGAGUGGCGGACGGGUGAGGAAUACAUCGGAAUCUACUUUUUCGUGGGGGAUAACGUAGGGAAACUUACGCUAAUACCGCAUACGACCUACGGGUGAAAGCAGGGGAUCUUCGGACCUUGCGCGAUUGAAUUAGACGAUGUCGGAUUAGCUAGUUGGCGGGGUAAAGGCCCACCAAGGCGACGAUCCGUAGCUGGUCUGAGAGGAUGAUCAGCCACACUGGAACUGAGACACGGUCCAGACUCCUACGGGAGGCAGCAGUGGGGAAUAUUGGACAAUGGGCGCAAGCCUGAUCCAGCCAUACCGCGUGGGUGAAGAAGGCCUUCGGGUUGUAAAGCCCUUUUGUUGGGAAAGAAAAGCAGCAGGUUAAUACCCCGCUGUUCUGACGGUACCCAAAGAAUAAGCACCGGCUAACUUCGUG
rnacentral:rRNA from 1 species